rnacentral:lncRNA from 1 species
GCUAGCAGGGUAUGGCAGCAUCUUCGGUUGUGCAUCAAGAAUUCUGCAUACAGUAGCACGUUUGUAUGAAGGUGUGGUUAUUCACAGGCAAAUUGCUAUAUGCUAUGGAGGUACAUCUGUGUCUUUUUGUCGAGAGAAAAACCUUUUUUAUUUUCAAUCAAAAAUAUCUGUUCUGAAAGCAACUUUUUCCUGACACAAAGUCAGUCAAAGCGUUCACCUACGAAGAUGGCAUCUCAGAGAGGGAGCUGACCAAUGGGUUGAAAAUGUAGAUAUUGCCAGAUGUUCAAAAUGAACAAUACCUCAAAAGGCACAAACAUAAUGAACUGAACUGAAUAAGGAGCUGAUGAGACCAGGAGAUGAAAGCGGAGCAUGCCUCGUACCUGCGG